rnacentral:rRNA from 1 species
GAUAUUAGGGUGGGGGAAUGUUCCCUCAAAACUGCUUUCUGGGAUUUAUAUGUUAUUUGUCAACAGCAGGAUGCCACUUUGUCCCAAGUCUGGGAUGGUGUACAGCUUCGUAUCACUUUUAGGAGAUGCCUAGAUGAGUCCAUUUUAUACAAAUGGAACAUGUUAGUUGAACUGGUUAAACAAACUACUUUGUCCUCCCAAACAGAUAGCCCCAUUUGGAGCUUGGAGUCGAAUGGUCAAUAUUCUGUUAAAUCCUUUUAUAAGAUGAUUAACUUUGGUGGGAUUUCUUAUGAGGUUAAAAAUUUCAUCUGGAAGAUUAAAGUUCCUCCAAAUAUCCAUGUUUUCUUGUGGCUGAUGUAUAAUAACAAAAGCUUGACUAGAGCUAAUCUUUCCAAAAGAAGACAUGUAGAAGAUAGAACGUGUGUUUUCUGUGCUGAGCCAGAAUCAAUUCAACACUUGUUGUUUGAUUGCAUUGUUGCGGCUGAAAUCUGGGCAGUGAUUGCUGAACUUUUAAGAUAA